CCUACGGGGGGCAGCAGUGGGGAAUUUUGGGCAAUGGGCGAAAGCCUGACCCAGCAACGCCGCGUGCAGGAUGAAGGCCCUCGGGUCGUAAACUGCUGUCGGGAGGGAAGAACAGCAGCGGAAGGAACAUGGCCGCUGCCUGACGGUACCUCCAAAGGAAGCGCCGGCUAACUCCGUGCCAGCAGCCGCGGUAAUACGGAGGGCGCAAGCGUUGUUCGGAAUUACUGGGCGUAAAGCGCGUGUAGGCGGUCUGGCAAGUCGGAUGUGAAAUCCCCGGGCUCAACCCGGGAACUGCAUCCGAAACUGCUGGGCUAGAGUCCCGGAGAGGAAGGCAGAAUUCCCAAUGUAGGGGUGAAAUCCGUAGAUAUUGGGAGGAAUACCAGUGGCGAAGGCGGCCUUCUGGACGGUGACUGACGCUGAGACGCGAAAGCGUGGGGAGC
rnacentral:rRNA from 1 species